UACGUAGGCAGCGAGCGUUGUUCGGAAUUACUGGGCGUAAAGAGUGUGUAGGCGGUGUUCCAAGUUCGGUGUGAAAUCUCCCGGCUUAACUGGGAGGGUGCGCCGAAAACUGGAAUGCUCGAGUGUGGGAGAGGAAAGCGGAAUUCCUGGUGUAGCGGUGAAAUGCGUAGAUAUCAGGAGGAACACCAGCGGUGUAGACGGCUUUCUGGACCAUUGCUGACGCUGAGACACGAAAGCGUGGGUAGCAAACAGG
rnacentral:rRNA from 1 species